UACGUAGGGGGCAAGCGUUGUUCGGAUUCAUUGGGCGUAAAGGGUGCGUAGGUGGCGCUGUAAGUCGGGUGUGAAAUUUCGGAGCUUAACUCCGAAACUGCAUUCGAUACUGCGGUGCUUGAGGACUGGAGAGGAGACUGGAAUUCAUGGUGUAGCAGUGAAAUGCGCAGAUAUCAGGAGGAACACCGAUGGCGAAGGCAGGUCUCUGGGCAUUAACUGACGCUGAGGAGCGAAAGCAUGGGGAGCGAACAGG
rnacentral:rRNA from 1 species